UACGUAGGGGGCGAGCGUUGUCCGGAUUUAUUGGGCGUAAAGAGCUCGUAGGCGGCUCGGUAAGUCAGGUGUGAAAACUCUAGGCUCAACCUAGAGACGCCACCUGAUACUGCUGUGGCUAGAGUCCGGUAGGGGAGCAUGGAAUUCCUGGUGUAGCGGUGAAAUGCGCAGAUAUCAGGAGGAACACCAGUGGCGAAGGCGGUGCUCUGGGCCGAAACUGACGCUGAGGAGCGAAAGCGUGGGGAGCAAACAGG
rnacentral:rRNA from 1 species